GGAUGUGAGGGCUAUUUAUCUAUGACACCUGUCACCCCAUUGAUCGCCAGGGUUGAUUCAACCGAUCUGGCUGACUAGGUGGGUAUAUCCAUCCUUCCUCACCACUCCAGGUGCCUCCCUCUUGAAACUGCGUGUUCAACUGAAGAGCAUGACCUUCCCUGAUAAAGGAUCAUUCUUGGGUCAAGGGUAAAAGAGUAGCUGUGCUGUCCUUCCAGACCCUCCCCACAGGCUCCCAAGGUCCAUUUGUAGGAGAAUGUAGGAUAGGCAAGCUUACAAGACUCCAGACACACCAAAUGAGGCGCUGCAUGUGGCAGCCUGCCUUUCUU
rnacentral:snRNA from 1 species